rnacentral:lncRNA from 1 species
CCCGACAUUUGGUGGAUGGAUCUGUCCUGUGGGACGGAGGCCGGUCAGCCAUUGGGGGAAACGCUCUCCCUUUGACCUCUGGUGUUGAUUCUCACCUGUUCUUUUCUCCUUCUGCAACUGCUCAGCCACUAGCCUGAUCCUCCUCUCUGUGGCCACCAACUCGGCCUUUGUAAGCCUAGGGCAGUCGAGGAUGUGGGAAAAGGAGUUCCGGGUGUGCCACCCCAACAGAUGCCCCUCUGGCAUCCUGAGUAUUUGGAAUUAGACUUGAAAUACAGCAGGUGUGUGACUCUGUGACCUUCCUUUGCUUAAAAGCAAGGGACGAAAUGCCCUUGUGAAUAAUGCUGCUAUGGCUUGAAUGCUGCUGGUCCUCAUCAAAACUCCUGUUCAAACAAGCUCCAACGUAACGGUAUUGAGAGACGCAGGGGCCUUUAAGAGGUAUUGGGUCAUGGGGGUGGAACCAUCAUGGAUUUUUUUUUUCUUGCAGGGAUGGGUCACUCCAGGACCACUUCCCACUCUGCAGGAAGCUGGCCACGAUGCUGGUGCCAUGCUCUUGGAAUUUCAGGAUUAUGAACCCGAACAAACCUCUUUCCUUUAUAAGUUAGUCUCAGGUGUUCUGUUGUAGCAACAGAAACGGACAGAGGACAGUGCCAUUCUCAUCAAGGACAGAAUACGGAGGCCAAGGAAAAUCUGUACAAACCAACCUUAUUAAACUAACCCUAUCUUCA